rnacentral:sRNA from 1 species
GUUGGGCAUAGCGGCGCAUGCCUGUAAUCCCAUCGCCUGGAGAGGCUGAGGCAGGAGGAUCUCGAAUUCAAAGCCAGCCUCAGCAAAAGCAAGGCGCUAAGCAACUCAGUGAGACCCUGUCUCUA